rnacentral:lncRNA from 1 species
CCGGUUGAAUUGGAGCAUAAAGCACAUUGGGCCAUCAAAACCUUUAAUAUGGACAUUGAUGCCGCAGGUCUUCAUAGGAAACUUCAAUUGAACGAGCUUGAGGAAGUUAGGAAUGAAGCUUACGAGAACUCUCGUAUUUACAAGGAGAAAAUGUUGAUGAUAUGUUUUAAUCCUUCCCAAUGCUAAAACAUAUUGAGUAUAAUAGCACAAGUAAGGGUGUCGAAUCCACAGGGACUAAUUGGACCUAUACAAUCACUUGUUUUGCAAGAACCAUAUUAAAUGACUUAAACUAAGCAACUUAGACAGAUUUGUUGUUGUAACUUAAAAACUCACAAGAAUGAUGACAACACAAGUAAAGGAAUCGACAAGUAAUAAAAUGGAAUAAUACCAAUGGAGAUGGAACUAGGGAUUCGGUUUCACCAUAGCUAAAUCAAUCCCAUGUUUGUUAAAUCAAUUUAUGCUCAUUCAUUUACCUAUUUCUUGAGUUUGUUUCACUUAGAUAUGAUCAACCAUAUGAUGUGUGGAUUUGAUCAAAUCAUCCUAGUCAAGAACCAAAUUGUGAUGUGCAACUUUGGUUCUCAACCAAGGAUGUUUUAUACAUAAGAAACUUUCACAAAACCAAAGGGGACACACGGCAGGAUGUUUGCCAAACAUCUCCUUCAAUCACUCCCAAAUCUGCCAAAAUUAUGCAUGAUGUGUGUGCUUCUAAUUUUGGCUACACAACCUGUGGUUAAUUCAAGUGGUGAUCAAGCAUUAAAAUCAACACACAAAGUCACAAUAAAAUCAGAGAAUGAAACAAGAAAUAGAAGGAUCAAAUGAGCAUUAUGAAUUAACUACAUGGGUUUUCUUGCUAGGCUACAUCGAAUCCCUAAGAAGGAGAUUAGUUACAUUUCAUGUUUACAAACGUUUUAACAUAGAAAUACAUAACAUGAAUGAACAUGGAAUUGAGAAGAAGAAACCCUUGAAGCAAAACUGAUGUUGAAAUCCUUCAAGAAUGGCCUUCGGUCUUGAUUCUCCAAUUGUGAUGUAACAUGAAAGAUGAGCAGUUUGUGGAUGGGUGGUUUGUGCGAAUGGGAGAGAAGAUGGACAGAAAGUGGAAUUGCUAAGUGUGUGAAUGGUGUGACCGAGAGAGCCCCCAAGAAGUGAGAUUGCAUGGACUUUUAAAAUGAAGUCUCUUGGGAGAACAUGCGGAUGAUAGUAGAAUAAUGGAGCUGCCAAAUCUGAAAUGAUGAUGGAAUGAGGUGAUUUCUGGAAUGGCAAGGCACGGCACCAGAGAACACAAGCAUGCUUGGUGCUUAUUUAAUUGAAGAAGCAUGUGCAAUGGCUGCAAGGUUGCAGUGGACAAGCUGGAAUUGUUCCCACAUGCUGGAAAGGGAAAGAAAGGCACGGCAUGGCUUUGCUUUGAGGUGAACAUGUGGCUGAAUGACUUAGUUUAAUGGGAUUGCAUGUUGCUGCUGCCAAAAAGGAGCUGGAAUUGCAAGGGAAUGCACGGCACAAGGUGUGUGCAACCCCUAAUUUAAUUCCAAUGCUCUUGCUUUGUUUGAAACCGAAUGCACCACUUUCCCUCCACAUGCUUUCUUGAAAUUUCAACAGCCAAAGUAGUUCUAUAAUCCUCAAAAUAACUCCUCAAGAACCUUCUCCACGUUUGGGAUGAUGAUCAUCUACCAAAAGGAAUGAUUUUACUUCAUUUGCAAUCCAAUUGAUCCUAAAACAUACUUGACUGCACACUAACACCAAAUAAUGUAAAAACACAACUAGCUUGAUUCAAAAACAUCACAAAACUGCCAAAUAAAGAUGAUAUAAAUGUACACAAAAUGUAUACAUCAGAAAACGAAGGCCUUCCAUGACAGGAUGAUUCGGAGCAAGACGUUCUCUAUCGGGCAGAAAGUGCUACUUUUCAAUUCUCGCCUUCGGUUAUUUCCAGGUAAGUUGCGUUCUAAAUGGAUUGGACCUUUUAUUGUUACUAAUGUUUUUUCGCAUGGUGCAGU